rnacentral:rRNA from 1 species
UACGUAGGGGGCUAGCGUUGUCCGGAAUUAUUUGGGCGUAAAGAGCUCGUAGGCGGUGUGUCGCGUCGCCGUAGGAAACCUGACCAGGCUUAACUGGUGGGCUGCGGGUCGAUACGGGCAGUCGACUGGGAGUUCGGGUAGGGGCGAGAGGGAAUUUCCGGUGGAGCGGUAGAAAUGCAUUGAGAUCGGAAAGAACACCGAACGCGAAGGCACUCGUCGCUGGGCCGACACUGACUGGAGAGAGAAGCUAGGGGAGCAAAUGGG